rnacentral:rRNA from 1 species
UACGUAGGGUGCGAGCGUUGUCCGGAAUUACUGGGCGUAAAGAGCUCGUAGGUGGUUUGUCGCGUUGUUCGUGAAAUCCCGCAGCUUAACUGCGGGCGUGCGGGCGAUACGGGCAGACUGGAGUACUGCAGGGGAGACUGGAAUUCCUGGUGUAGCGGUGGAAUGCGCAGAUAUCAGGAGGAACACCGGUGGCGAAGGCGGAUCUCUGGGCCAUUACUGACGCUGAGGAGCGAAAGCGUGGGGAGCGAACAGG